GAACGGGUGAGUAAUACAUAAGCCUAUCAGCCCUAGACAGGGGGAUAACUGCUGGAAACGGCAGCUAAGACCGCAUAGGUAUGGACACUGCAUGGUGACCAUAUUAAAAGUGCCAAGGCACUGGUAGAGGAUGGACUUAUGGCGCAUUAGCUGGUUGGUGAGGUAACGGCUCACCAAGGCGACGAUGCGUAGCCGACCUGAGAGGGUGACCGGCCACACUGGGACUGAGACACGGCCCAGACUCCUACGGGAGGCAGCAGUAGGGAAUUUUCGGCAAUGGGGGGAACCCUGACCGAGCAACGCCGCGUGAAGGAAGAAGGAAUUCGUUCUGUAAACUUCUGUUAUAAAGGAAGAACGGCGGAUAUAGGGAAUGAUAUCCGAGUGACGGUACUUUAUGAGAAAGCCACGGCUAACUACGUGCCAGCAGCCGCGGUAAUACGUAGGUGGCGAGCGUUAUCCGGAAUUAUUGGGCGUAAAGAGGGAGCAGGCGGCGGCAGAGGUCUGUGGUGAAAGACUGAAGCUUAACUUCAGUAAGCCAUAGAAACCGGGCUGCUAGAGUGCAGGAGAGGAUCGUGGAAUUCCAUGUGUAGCGGUGAAAUGCGUAGAUAUAUGGAGGAACACCAGUGGCGAAGGCGACGGUCUGGCCUGUAACUGACGCUCAUUCCCGAAAGCGUGGGGAGCAAAUAGGAUUAGAUACCCUAGUAGUCCA
rnacentral:rRNA from 1 species